UGCAAGUGUUCAGUUCUCCAGUUGCAGUUUCCGAUUCAGUUCCUUCGAGAUUUUACCAAGGUCCCCCGUUUGUUGUGAAAUUGGUGCAGUUUCACCGAUUGCCUUAAGAUCAGUUCGUUGUUUGAUCGCGUUGUCCAGAGACGUCGGCAGGGGCCUCGGAAAGAGUUAUCUUUUCUGUUUAACAGCCUACCCACCCUGGAAACGGCUCAGCCGGAGGUAGGGUCCAGCGGCUAGAAGAGCACCGCACGUCGCGUGGUGUCCGAUGCACCCCCGGCGGCCCUUGAAAAUCCGGAGGACCGAGUGCCUUCCACGCCCGGUCAUACUCAUAACCGCAUCAGGUCUCCAAGGUGAGUAGCCUCU
rnacentral:ncRNA from 1 species